UACGUAGGUGGCAAGCGUUGUCCGGAUUUACUGGGCGUAAAGAGCGCGCAGGCGGUCGUUCAAGUCGCGUGUGAAAGCCCCCGGCUCAACUGGGGAGGGUCACGCGAUACUGAUCGACUCGAAGGCAGGAGAGGGUAGUGGAAUUCCCGGUGUAGUGGUGAAAUGCGUAGAUAUCGGGAGGAACACCAGUGGCGAAGGCGACUUCCUGGCCUGUUCUUGACGCUGAGGCGCGAAAGCUAGGGGGAGCAAACAGG
rnacentral:rRNA from 1 species